CAGCCGCCGCGGUAAUACGUAGGUGGCAAGCGUUGUCCGGAAUUAUUGGGCGUAAAGGGCUCGCAGGCGGUUUCUUAAGUCUGAUGUGAAAGCCCCCGGCUCAACCGGGGAGGGUCAUUGGAAACUGGGAAACUUGAGUGCAGAAGAGGAGAGUGGAAUUCCACGUGUAGCGGUGAAAUGCGUAGAGAUGUGGAGGAACACCAGUGGCGAAGGCGACUCUCUGGUCUGUAACCGACGCUGAGGAGCGAAAGCGUGGGGAGCGAACAGGAUUAGAUACCCGCGUAGUCCCUGUCUCUUAUAC
rnacentral:rRNA from 1 species